GUUGAUAUAAACUACAAAGUCCAGAACCCACACGCAAACAGGACGGAAAUGACGUUUGCAAUUGUAGGCUGAAAAGGCCGCAGUGUAUGGUGGGAAUUGUAGUUCUCCGUAAGCGGCAGAAAAUGCGUCUUGCCGGCCCGCCGGAAACCUGGUUGUGAGAAAGACUUUUAAAAAUUUACUUUACUUUAAUCUAAAAUUAUUUCUCUGAAGUCGGCAAAAAAAAAAAAAAAGUAGACCUUAAUGUAUUCAUUUUUCUGAGAAAAUCUAAGAGCAGACACCUUUCUCGGAUUUCCUAGUUACAAGAACUAUGUUAAGGUACAAGCUCGUGAGAUAUCAUAAGGAGACAGCCUCGCUGACUUGGAAAUAGUCUGGACAGAGAUGAGAGGAAGUGGUGGCAUUGCUGCUGAAGCUACAGUGUCAUUCAACAACUUCCUCUCACCGUACUGCUUCCGCUGGAUGAAAGGCUGUUCAGUUCCCAGAAGAGAACAUCAUUUUUUAAUUCUGGGCCUGUUCACAAUCUAUUGCCUCUGUCUGGAACACUCUUCUCUCUCACUCCCCAAACCUUCAUUUAUCCUUUUUUAUUGAGGCUGUUCCUGACCCCUUAGCCUUGGCAUAUAAGAUCCUGUUGUGUGCUCCUAUGGGACUUCGUAUUACUCAGUAUUAAAAUAUACCACACUAGAUUGUAACUGCCUGAAUAUAUGUAUUUACCACUAGACAGGAGGCUCUGUGAAAGCAGAGACUGCAUCUUUUUUUGCUUUCCAUUUUCUAACCAACCAAAAGCUAGCACAUAGAGAUGCUCAAUAAAUAUGUAUUGAAUUAAUCA
rnacentral:lncRNA from 1 species